rnacentral:piRNA from 1 species
UGAAGUGAUUGUAAACAGAUUCACAGUGGC